GACGAACGCUGGCGGCGUGCCUAAUACAUGCAAGUAGAACGCUGAAGAGAGGAGCUUGCUCUUCUUGGAUGAGUUGCGAACGGGUGAGUAACGCGUAGGUAACCUGCCUUGUAGCGGGGGAUAACUAUUGGAAACGAUAGCUAAUACCGCAUAACAAUAGGUGACACAUGUCAUUUAUUUGAAAGGGGCAAUUGCUCCACUACAAGAUGGACCUGCGUUGUAUUAGCUAGUAGGUGAGGUAACGGCUCACCUAGGCGACGAUACAUAGCCGACCUGAGAGGGUGAUCGGCCACACUGGGACUGAGACACCGCCCAGACUCCUACGGGAGGCAGCAGGAGGGAAACUUCGGCAAUGGGGGCAACCCUGAACGAGCAACGCCGCGUGAGGGAAGAAGGUUUUCGGAUCGUAAAGCUCUGUUGUAAGUCAAGAACGAGUGUGAGAGUGGAAAGUUCACACUGUGACGGUAGCUUACCAGAAAGGGACGGCUAACUACGUG
rnacentral:rRNA from 1 species